rnacentral:rRNA from 1 species
UACGUAGGGUGCGAGCGUUAAUCGGAAUUACUGGGCGUAAAGCGUGCGUAGGUGGUUCGUUGUGUCUGUGGUGAAAGCCCCGGGCUUAACCUGGGAAUGGCCAUGGAAACUGGCGAGCUGGAGUGUGGCAGAGGGGGGUGGAAUUCCCGGUGUAGCAGUGAAAUGCGUAGAGAUCGGGAGGAACAUCUGUGGCGAAGGCGGCCACCUGGACCAGCACUGACACUGAGGCACGAAAGCGUGGGGAGCAAACAGG